GCGCCUGAACAUGAAUACAAUGGAAGUCAGGAAAAAUGCACUUUGCUAGAAUUACAUAAAUGCGAUCAAGUCAUGUAUAUAUCUUUGCAAUUACCACUGUUUUUUUAAUAUAUAUUUCUUGAAUGCAACAAUCGGACCUUUUAAAUUUGUUUGACAAUUUCCAUCGAUUUUCUUGGGGGAAGGAAAAGGAGGAGAGAACUCCAUCAUUACGUGUGCUCGAAUAAAGUUCCCGAGGCAUCAACUUGGGCU
rnacentral:lncRNA from 1 species